rnacentral:rRNA from 1 species
AUUGAACGCUGGCGGCAUGCUUUACACAUGCAAGUCGGACGGCAGCACAGAGAAGCUUGCUUCUUGGGUGGCGAGUGGCGAACGGGUGAGUAACAUAUCGGAACGUACCGGGCAGUGGGGGAUAACUAAUCGAAAGAUUAGCUAAUACCGCAUAUCUUCUGAGGAAGAAAGCAGGGGACCAUUUGGCCUUGCGCUGUUUGAGCGGCCGAUAUCUGAUUAGCUAGUUGGUGGGGUAAAGGCCUACCAAGGCGACGAUCAGUAGCGGGUCUGAGAGGAUGAUCCGCCACACUGGGACUGAGACACGGCCCAGACUCCUACGGGAGGCAGCAGUGGGGAAUUUUGGACAAUGGGCGCAAGCCUGAUCCAGCCAUGCCGCGUGUCUGAAGAAGGCCUUCGGGUUGUAAAGGACUUUUGUCAGGGAAGAAAAGGGCGGGGUUAAUACCCCUGUCUGAUGACGGUA